rnacentral:rRNA from 1 species
CCUACGGGUGGCAGCAGUCGAGAAUCAUUCACAAUGGGGGAAACCCUGAUGGUGCGACGCCGCGUGGGGGAAUGAAGGUCUUCGGAUUGUAAACCCCUGUCAUGUGGGAGCAAAUUAAAAAGAUAGUACCACAAGAGGAAGAGACGGCUAACUCUGUGCCAGCAGCCGCGGUAAUACAGAGGUCUCAAGCGUUGUUCGGAAUCACGGGGCGUAAAGCGUGCGUAGGCUGUUUCGUAAGUCGUGUGUGAAAGGCGCGGGCUCAACCCGCGGACGGCACAUGAUACUGCGAGACUAGAGUAAGGGAGGGGGAACCGGAAUUCUCGGUGUAGCAGUGAAAUGCGUAGAUAUCGAGAGGAACACUCGUGGCGAAGGCGGGUUCCUGGACAUUAACUGACGCUGAGGCACGAAGGCCAGGGGAGCGAAAGGGAUUAGAUACCCUAGUAGUC